GAAAAUCAAAGUGAUGAGAAUGAUUGGCCUGUGAAACUGUUGGCUAAACCGAAAGAUUACAUCGAUAAGUUCAACUUUCCGGAUCUGCCAAUUUUGCUGCCUCCAUUCUCUGAUUGCACAAUGUAACUUUUAACAUUCUUGGACAAAAGCCCCUGUUUGUCGGUGUUGGCAUUGGCAAGGAAACUCUGCAUGCAAUUGUCGGUAAAGCAAGGGAAGCAGCCAUGUAUUUAACUGCCCGUAUUUUGCAGAGUAUGCUACCGAUCAAAUCCGCGAAAUGUCAGGGAAUCAAAACGGUGAUUAAUAUCAAGUCACCAACGAGUUAAUACCCACCAAGGAAAAAUUGCUUCCAAAUGAAUCCCAACG